GAUGAACGCUGGCGGCGUGCCUAAUACAUGCAAGUCGAGCGAACAGACGAGGAGCUUGCUCCUCUGACGUUAGCGGCGGACGGGUGAGUAACACGUGGAUAACCUACCUAUAAGACUGGGAUAACUUCGGGAAACCGGAGCUAAUACCGGAUAAUAUAUUGAACCGCAUGGUUCAAUAGUGAAAGACGGUUUUGCUGUCACUUAUAGAUGGAUCCGCGCCGCAUUAGCUAGUUGGUAAGGUAACGGCUUACCAAGGCAACGAUGCGUAGCCGACCUGAGAGGGUGAUCGGCCACACUGGAACUGAGCCACGGUCCAGACUCCUACGGGGGGCAGCAGUAGGGAAUCUUCCGCAAUGGGCGAAAGCUUGACGGAGCAACGCCGCGUGAGUGAUGAAGGUCUUCGGAUCGUAAAACUCUGUUAUUAGGGAAGAACAAAUGUGUAAGUAACUAUGCACGUCUUGACGGUACCUAAUCAGAAAGCCACGGCUAACUACGUG
rnacentral:rRNA from 1 species